rnacentral:misc_RNA from 1 species
UCACCCCUCAAGCCUAGCUUGGUGUUGGACCUAACCGUGCUUUGGUUAUGGUUGGUCUCAAAAAUAGUGACGGCGUCCUAGAAGGAACCGGUACGAGGAGCUUGUAACCAAGCACGUACACGGCAGGAUUCUAUGGCGGCGGUCUUUAUUAUUAUCAAG